rnacentral:rRNA from 1 species
CCUACGGGCGGCAGCAGUGGGGAAUAUUGCACAAUGGGGGAAACCCUGAUGCAGCGACGCCGCGUGAGUGAAGAAGUAUCUCGGUACGUAAAGCUCUAUCAGCAGGGAAGAUAAUGACGGUACCUGACCAAGAAGCCCCGGCUAACUACGUGCCAGCAGCCGCGGUAAUACGUAGGGUGCGAGCGUUAAUCGGAAUUACUGGGCGUAAAGCGCUCGUAGGCGGUAUGUCAAGUCAAGGGUGAAAUCCCCGCGCUCAACGUGGGAACUGCCUUUGAAACUGGCAAACUGGAGUGUGUGAGAGGAUAGUGGAAUUCCAGGUGUAGGAGUGAAAUCCGUAGAUAUCUGGAGGAACAUCAGUGGCGAAGGCGACUAUCUGGCACAUAACUGACGCUGAGGAGCGAAAGCGUGGGUAGCAAACAGGAUUAGAUACCCUUGUAGUC